rnacentral:rRNA from 1 species
GAUCAUGGCUCAGGACGAACGCUGGCGGCGUGCUUAACACAUGCAAGUCACGGGGGCCCCGCGAGGGGCAACCGGCGAACGGGUGCGUAACACGUGACCAACCUGCCCUCGUGUGGGGGAUAGCCGGGCUAACGCCCGGGUAAUACCGCAUACGUUUUCUGAAGGGAGUCCUUCGGAAAGGAAAGCGCCGGCAACGGCGUGCACGGGGAGGGGGUCGCGGCCUAUCAGCUAGUUGGCGGGGUAACGGCCCACCAAGGCGACGACGGGUAGCUGGUCUGAGAGGAUGGCCAGCCACAUUGGGACUGAGAGACGGCCCAGACUCCUACGGGAGGCAGCAGUGGGGAAUCUUGCGCAAUGGUCUAACGACUGACGCAGCGACGCCGCGUGUGGGAGGACGCCUUUCGGGGUGUAAACCACUGUUGCCCGGGACGAACACCUCUUUUCGAAGAGGCUGACGGUACCGGGUGAGGAAGCACCGGCUAACUCCGUGCCAGCAGCCGCGGUAAUACGGAGGGUGCGAGCGUUGUCCGGAAUCAUUGGGCGUAAAGGGCGCGUAGGUGGCCCGGUCAGUCCGUGGUGAAAGCGCGGGGCUCAACCCUGCGUCGGCCAUGGAUACUGCCGCGGCUCGAGCACUGUAGAGGCAGGCGGAAUUCCGGGUGUAGCGGUGGAAUGCGUAGAGAUCCGGAAGAACACCGGUGGCGAAGGCGGCCUGCUGGGCAGUUUGGCUGACACUGAGGCGCGACAGCGUGGGGAGCAAA